UUCCUGAUUUUCCCAUCGUUCGGGGCAUUCUGGGGCUGUUUUGGCUAUUGGUUGCUUGUUUGGUCUUGAGCUGAACGGGUGGCUUCUAGUCCGGUGGCUUCGGGGAUGUUUUCCGUAAAGGUGGAUGAGUGGUGUUUGGUUUGUUACGUGUGGUUGGCUGCGGCGUUUGCAACAACUUCCAUGCUUUCAGACCUCUUCAGUUGUGCGGCAAGGCUUGUAUCGCCUUGAGCGUAAUGCGGGUUUUCUGUGCUGGCUACCUAAUCAACGGUAUCGGUUGGAUUGAUCAAAGUUUGAUUUCGUCUUCCGUCGCAUUCGCGGCGUGAGGCGAACCUCGAUGCGGUCUCUUUGAUCCACCUCGUUGAAGCACGUGCUUCGACGUUGUGGCACAUUGAGCAUUGCUUGGUCUCUUGUAUACGGAACAUAUAGUGGGCAUGGAUCUAACGAUCCUCGUUUGCCCUCAUAUUAGCGUAACGCUUCUCUAACACGACUUGCGCCAUGUUUUAG
rnacentral:misc_RNA from 1 species